UGUGUAGGGAACAGUCACAUCACAUGUGUGUGAGCAUCACUGAGACGAUGUGGAUUACUUUUUCUUUAGUCACGCUUGCGUGGUUUUCUACAGCCCAAGCUGGCGGCAACUGUGAACAUGUCUUUGAUGAAUGUCUAAAACAACAACAACAAGGUGGUGGCCCCUGGACCAGGUGCUAUGAGGACAGCAUUGCAAGCUGUACAGUGAG